AGGCCACUGCUAUCGGAGUUCGAUUAAGCCAUGCGAGUCGAGAGGUGCAAGACCUCGGCAUACUGCUCAGUAACACGUGGACAACCUACCCUAUGGAGGGGGAUAACCCCGGGAAACUGGGGAUAAUACCCCAUAGAUUAUGGGUGCUGGAAUGCUCUGUAGUUGAAGGGUCCGCCGCCAUAGGAUGGGUCUGCGGCCGAUUAGGUUGUUGUUGGGGUAACGGCCCAACAAGCCUGUAAUCGGUACGGGUUGUGGGAGCAAGAGCCCGGAGAUGGAUUCUGAGACACGAAUCCAGGCCCUACGGGGCGCAGCAGGCGCGAAAACUUUACAAUGCGGGAAACCGUGAUAAGGGAACUCCGAGUGCCCGUUAAAUCGGGCUGUCCACCAGUUUAAAAAACUGGUGAAGAAAGGGCCGGGCAAGACCGGUGCCAGCCGCCGCGGUAAUACCGGCGGCUCGAGUGGUGGCCACUAUUACUGGGCUUAAAGCGUUCGUAGCUGGUUUGUUAAGUCUCUGGGGAAAUCUGCCGGCUUAACCGGCAGGCGUCUCAGGGAUACUGGCAGACUAGGGACCGGGAGAGGUGAGGGGUACUCCAGGGGUAGGAGUGAAAUCCUGUAAUCCUUGGGGGACCACCUGUGGCGAAGGCGCCUCACCAGAACGGCUCCGACAGUGAGGGACGAAAGCUGGGGGAGCAAACCGGAUUAGAUACCCGGGUAGUCCCAGCUGUAAACGAUGCGCGUUAGGUGUAUCGGUGACCACGAGUCACCGAGGUGCCGAAGAGAAAUCGUGAAACGUGCCGCCUGGGAAGUACGGUCGCAAGGCUGAAACUUAA
rnacentral:rRNA from 1 species